rnacentral:rRNA from 1 species
UACGUAGGGUGCGAGCGUUAAUCGGAAUUACUGGGCGUAAAGCGUGCGCAGGCGGUUCGUUGUGUCGGCGGUGAAAGCCCCGGGCUCAACCUGGGAAUGGCCGUUGAAACUGGCGAACUGGAGUGUGGUAGAGGGGGAUGGAAUUCCGCGUGUAGCAGUGAAAUGCGUAGAUAUGCGGAGGAACACCGAUGGCGAAGGCAAUCCCCUGGACCUGUACUGACGCUCAUGCACGAAAGCGUGGGGAGCAAACAGG